CGUCGGGAGUGUUCAGUGUUUCUGGGGAGUUUUUUUUGUUUUUUCGGUCGGGAGCGUUUUCUUUUCUUUGUUCAAUUUAUUUUUCUUAAAUUUCUUUCGCUUUCUUCGAGCCAGCGAGGCAGCGGCCUCCGCGCUCUCCUUCCCCCUUUCUACUUCUGUUGAUUCCCUCCCUUUCAGUACUUAGGGUGGCUGCGGAAGGCGUUCCUCGUCGCGUCCUUCCUCGAAUUCGCCUUGUUUUUUCUUUCUUUCUUCCAUGCCCUCCAACCUUAAAACUUUUUCCUGGGUCUACGAUAUUUCCUAGUCUAACUCUUCAACCUUUUCUACUUCCGGCUACCACGAGACCUAUUCCGAUCCUUUGUAUUCUUUUCUGUCGAACUCCUAUGAAUAUUAGAACAACACUUCUUUUCCUUCCUUAUACUUCUUUUCUACUUUCUUUUCCCACUCGUUGGUCAAUACAAGUCGGUAGAACCUGGUGGUUUCUCUGCCGGACGUCGUCUGCUUCUACUGUCUCGAUUUUUGGGAUACGGACUUCUAAGACAAAUGAUAGUGGGUUGGAACUUGGGUAGACCCCGUGGUGGUGGACCGUUUGGAGGAUACAUGUUUAGUAGCUAUCCUGGUUCCUAAGGUAACGGAAGGAGUCAACCACGACCCCGAAGUAGAAGGUACUGUCUUAGACUUCUUCGUCCAGGAAGGUGGUACGGGGGAGGAGGUGGCGGGGGAGGUGACGGUCGGAGAAGUCUUGGAAGUCUAGAUAGACAGGGAAGAAAUGGAAAUGGGGGUGGUGGCGGGGGUGGGGGUGGAUUCGGACGACCGCGACAUUAUCGUGGUCCGAAUGGCGACGGUGGAGGUGGAGGAGGAGGACCACGUGGAGGGUCUCUUGGACACAAUCUAAUAUAUAAUGACGGUGGUGGAGGAGGAGGUGGUGUCGCCGGAAACGUUGUUGGUGGAGAUGGACCAUGUUUACUCGACGAAUUAUUUGUUUAACAACCUCUCCCACGUUCGAGCCGUCUAAGAUGUGUCCGAGGUCAACACGAUGGAGGUGGAGGUGGAGGGGGAUCCAACGGUGGCUUGAGCUUACUUUAUGUCCGAUGACUGCUAUGACGAUACCUAUGAGGACAACACUUUCUUCUACGAUUUUAAAGUUCCAAGAAUGGUGGUGGAGGUGGCGUAGGUAGCGUCAAUGACGGAAACGGAGGUUCCGGAGGUUACUACGGAGGUCAUGUUGGACUAUAAGAUUCAGGUCCUUACCAGUCUAAAGGAGGUGGUGGCAGUGUUGGUCUAAGUUCCGGUGGUAAAUACCGAGGACCACAACGACGGUCCGGGGGAGGUGGAGGAGGUCGUAAUUGAGGCCGAGUUUACGGUUACCGUGGGAAACCACAUGAAGGACCAGGCAGUCGUUACGAAUCCGGAGGUAAAAAAGGUCCUGGGCUUAAACGACAAAAACCGGGUUCCGGCGUCAAUGGAGUCGUCGGUAGAAUGCAGUUUAGCCGACGAAGUUGUCAACAUUUCUCUGGUAAUCGUGUUGUAUGAGGACUCGAUUGUCGAUACCAAGGACGUAGUCAAGCUCAAUUCUCUCUUAGGCGAGAGGGAUUUGGUUUUGGUUUCCGCGUCGUCGUCAGUAGUCGUGGUAGUAUAAGACGAGACUUCGGAAGUCAUUGGGGGUAUUUUAGACGUCGGGUCGGAAGUGGGAGUCAAAGAUUCGGUGUUUCGUAACUACUGAGGAUGUACCGUAAGGACCUCCUAUACUUCGUUGACCCACGGGAGCUACUCAUCGAGUCGUAGGUCAGGGAAGAGGGACUACCGACAGUCGUCGAACCAGUACUUGGACUUGGACUUGUACUAAGACAAGAAACGUAACACCGAGUACUUACCGAAAAGGACGAUACUAGAAUCUUUGGCAAAGACAAAAAGGUACUCGUUCGUAAACUCUACAAAAAGGUACAUACAAACUGAAAUUUUAAACAGGUGUAUUCUAACAUGAAGAUAGAAGGGUUACGUAAAAUUUCAUUUUUUUUUUCGAAGAGAAAGCAGUAUGCCAUUAGUUCUGGUUAUUUUAAGA
rnacentral:rRNA from 1 species